GCCUUUAUAGCUCAGUGGUAGAGCGCAGCACUUGUAAGCCAAUUUACAAGCUUAUGCUGAGGUCCAUCGUUCAAUCCGGUGUGGAGGCA
rnacentral:tRNA from 1 species